AAGUCGUAACAAGGUUUCCGUAGGUGAACCUGCGGAAGGAUCAUUAACACGUAUCCAACGUUAAACCCCCCUGUGAACCUUCAGAAGUCCGUUCUCGUAACACCAGUGCGCCUCAGCAAUCCCGGUAAAUCAUUGUCGACCAGUAUUGAUUCGGGACCUCUGACAAAUGCCUUACGAUCGAGCUGUACAGUGACAUGGCUUCCAGUGAAUGAAAGUGUCACCGGAUAACGCCUCACGAUUGCUGGGUCCAGCUUCCAUGUCAUAGGGUCCUUCGAAACCCCACUACUUUAUAGUUCGGGCUUUAAACACACGCCCAAAAAAACGAACAACUGUUAACAAUGGAUACCUUGGUUCUC
rnacentral:misc_RNA from 1 species